AGCCUUUGAUCUGAGUUCCAAUGCCUUAACUCAUUCUAAAAAGGUCAAUACUUAUAACAACAAGAAAGAGAUCGAGACUUUAAAAGCUUAGUUAAUAAGGAAAUGCUGACUUCCCAAUCCCAAAAAGAACGAAACAACUGUGGUACGUUUUCUUAAAGAAAUAAGGUUUUGUGAUCAUACACCAUCAGUUGAUGACUUGAAUAUCUCUUUGUUGAUUCAUAGGUUUUAACAAGUUUGCAUGGAAAUGCCUGCAAUUUCUCCCUAAUAAUUCAGCCUUCCCAUUUCAGCCAAACUGACAGAAAUUACCUUGAAAGUCCAACACUAAAUUCCAUGAAUAUUCCAUGAAUAUCAGCUCUUGGAAAGAAGAACAUGCCAGAUCAGGAGGAUGCAUUACUGGACUCGGCAAGCCAGGGACACCCAUGAAUCCACAUGAUGAAAAUUGAGAGGCUGCAGAUAGAGAGACACAGAGAGAUGGAGAGAGAUGGAAGGAAAGAGUGCUGCUGCUAUUGGAGCCUUCUC
ensembl:lncRNA